CCUACGGGAGGCAGCAGUGGGGGAUAUUGGACAAUGGGGGGAACCCUGAUCCAGUGACGCCGCGUGAGUGAAGAAGUAUUUCGGUAUGUAACGCUCUGUCAGCAGGGAAGAAAGAAAUGACGGUACCUGACCAAGAAGCCCCGGCUAACUACGUGCCAGCAGCCGCGGUAAUACGUAGGGGGCAAGCGUUAUCCGGAAUUACUGGGUGGAAAGGGAGCGUAGACGGUUAAGUAAGUCUGGAGUGAAAGGCCGGGGACCAAACCCGGGACUGCUCUGGAAACUAUUGAACUUGAGUGCAGGAGAGGUAAGCGGAAUUCCUAGUGUAGCGGUGAAAUGCGUAGAUAUUAGGAGGAACACCAGGGGCGAAGGCGGCUUACUGGACUGUAACUGACGUUGAGGCUCGAAAGCGUGGGGAGCAAACAGGAUUAGAUACCCUAGUAGUC
rnacentral:rRNA from 1 species